UUCCAGCCCCGAUUGCAGUGAACAUUCCGAUGAAGGAUCGGAAUGUUCACUGCAAUCGGGUUUAUUU
rnacentral:sRNA from 1 species